AAAUUACUCCCUCCGUCCCAAAGUUGUUGUCUUAGAUUUGUCUAGAUACAGAUGUAUCAAGUCACAUUUUAGUAUUAGAUACAUCCGUAUCUAGACAAAUCUAAGACAAGAAAUUUGGGACAGAGGGAGUAGUUG
rfam:Triticum aestivum genome assembly, contig: Triticum_aestivum_CS42_TGACv1_scaffold_231222_3B